UUUUUUUUGGGUGGUGGUGGGUAUACGUAGCAUUGUUGUCCAGAUGGAAGGCCCAUGGCUCCCCAAUGGAAGAAAAACGUAAUCCAUAAAAAGGAGUACCCAAGUGUGGUUGGUGAGCAAGCUGGGCAGUAGGCACUCCUGUAGAGAGAGAAACUAGAGAGAGAGAGGACAUGAGCCUCCUGCGAAGAGUGAACACAAGCUUACCUCAAGUUGUUGGAUUUACACGAAGGUCCCUCAAAUCACUCAAAUUCGCUGGCGACUCCCUCGACUCCUCUUCCUCCCCCGCUCUCAUCCAUGGGAUUCACGUCUUCCAUUGCCCAGAUACGCUGGGCAUUGUGGCAAAGUUAUCGGAAUGUAUAGCUUCAAGAGGUGGAAACAUAUUGGGUGCGGACAUCUUUGUGCCUCAAAAAAAACAAGUCUUCUAUUCCAGAAGUGAUUUUGUCUUUGAUCCUGCUAAAUGGCCAAGGGUGAAAAUGGAAGAGGACUUCCUGAAGCUGUCAAAAAUGUUCAAUGCGAUGAAAUCUGUUGUUCGUGUGCCCACUGUUGAUCCCAAAUACAAGAUUGCAGUUCUUGCUUCAAAGCAGGACCAUUGUCUGGUUGAUUUGCUGCAUGGAUGGCAGGAUGGAAGACUUCCAGUGGAUAUAACUUGCAUAAUAAGUAAUCAUGAUAGAGGACCAAACACCCAUGUGAUUCGAUUUCUUGAAAGGCAUGGAAUCCCGUAUCAUUAUUUGCACAAAAGUAAUGGGAGUAAGAGAGAGGCAGAGAUCUUGGAUUUGAUUCAAGAUACUGAUUUUUUAGUACUUGCUAGAUAUAUGCAGUCAUUUAUGCAGGUAUUAUCAGGAAAUUUUUUGAGUAGUUAUGGAAAGGAUAUAAUUAACAUCCAUCAUGGCCUUUUGCCAUCAUUCAAGGGUGGGAAUCCUUCUAAACAGGCCUUUGAUGCUGGUGUGAAAUUAAUUGGUGCAACAAGUCACUUUGUAACUGAAGAACUUGAUGCAGGGCCUAUUAUUGAACAAAUGGAUCUCAAGUUGGGGUGAGAGAGUAUUCAAUGGAAACAAUUCUCUUAUUUCCUGCUGUUUAAACUUUCAUUUUAUAAUCCCCAUUGACUAACAUGUGAAGCUGAAAAAAACUUGGCUUGGGUCCUUCUAUAAGAGAUAGUCAAGGUUGAGAGAGUUUCACACAGAGAUAAUUUGCAGAGCUUCAUACAGAAAUCAGAGAACCUUGAGAAACAGUGCCUUGCAAUGGCAAUAAAAUCUUAUUGUGAAUUGCGGGUUCUGCCUUAUGA